rnacentral:rRNA from 1 species
AAUAUUGCACAAUGGGCGAAAGUCUGAUCCAGUGACGCCGCGUGAAGGAAGAAGGUCUUCGGAUUGUAAACUUAUUUUGUCAGGGAAGAAAAAAAUGACAGUACCUGAAGAAAAAGGACCGGCAAACUACGUGCCAGCAGCCGCGGUAAUACGUAGGGUCCAAGCGUUAUCCGGAUUUACUGGGUGUAAAGGGCGAGUAGACGGCGUUGCAAGUCAGAUGUGAAAACUUGAGGCUCAACCUCAAGACUGCAUCUGAAACUGUAAUGCUAGAGUGCAGGAGAGGAAAGUGGAAUUCCUAGUGUAGCGGUGAAAUGCGUAGAUAUUAGGAGGAACACCAGUGGCGAAGGCGACUUUCUGGACUGUAACUGACGUUGAGGCGCGAAAGUGUGGGGAGCAAACAGG